rnacentral:rRNA from 1 species
CCUACGGGCGGCAGCAGUGGGGAAUAUUGGGCAAUGGGCGCAAGCCUGACCCAGCAACGCCGCGUGAAGGAAGAAGGCUCUCGGGUUGGUAACUCCCUUUUACAGGGAAGAGUAGAAGACGGUACCUGUCGAAUAAGCCACGGCUAACUACGGGCCAGCAGCCGCGGUAAUACGUAGGUGGCAAGCAAUCUCCGGAUUUACUGGGUGUAAAGGGAGUGUAGCCGGGUUGACAAGUCAGAUGUGAAAGCCCGGGGCUAAACCGCAGAACUGCAUUUAAAACUGUUGAUCUGGAGUACUGGAGAGGAAGACGGAAUUCCUGGGGUAGCGGUGAAUGCGUAGAUAUCAGGAGGAACACCAGUGGCGAAGGCGGUAUGCUGGACAGCAACUGACGGUGAGGCGCGAAAGCGUGGGGAGCGAACAGGAUUAGAUACCCCUGUAGUC